UUCUUCCUUGGCUUGUACCAGAUCUCAGAGGAAAAGCUUACAACUUUUCUCAAGCAAAUCUGAUCAUCGUGAGCUUGUCAUGUAUGGCCUUUGUUGUGUUGAGUGGGAUUCACAUAUGGAAAACAAGAUAGUUCCUGACCUCCAGGUGUUUCCAAUCAGAAGUUUGCUGUGAAAUACUCUGCAACGUUUCUUCAAGAGCUGCCACUUACUCCUCGUGUGUCGAUUGUAUUGAAUAAUUGACCUGUACUCUUCAGGUUUAGUUUGGAUGAAUUAAGACAGAAACUUAUGCAAAUUCUACCAGAGCCUGUUUGCUAUGGGGAAGAUGAGACCUUUUGCUUCUUUGUUAAGGUCAAGAGCAUUUUCAGUGGGAGAAGGCUGACCAUUGUAGACCGUAAUGUA